rnacentral:ncRNA from 2 species
CUUUCCGAGGAGCGUUGCAGCGCCGCCCAGGCGUGAGGCUCGGAAUCAUCCAUCCGCAACGACGCUCGCCCACG